rnacentral:rRNA from 1 species
CCUGCGGAGGGAUCAUUACACAACAAAAUAUGAAGGUCUGGCUUCGCGGCCGGCUGAAAUAUUUUUUUCACCCAUGUCUUUUGCGCACUUGUUGUUUCCUGGGCGGGUUCGCCCGCCACCAGGACCAAACCAUAAACCUUUUUUUUUAUGCAGUUGCAAUCAGCGUCAGUAAAAACAAUGUAAUUAAUUACAACUUUCAACAACGGAUCUCUUGGUUCUGGCAUCGAUGAAGAACGCAGCGAAAUGCGAUACGUAGUGUGAAUUGCAGAAUUCAGUGAAUCAUCGAAUCUUUGAACGCACAUUGCGCCCUUUGGUAUUCCAAAGGGCAUGCCUGUUCGAGCGUCAUUUGUACCUUCAAGCUUUGCUUGGUGUUGGGCGUUUUUGUCUCCCUCUUUCUGGGAGACUCGCCUUAAAACGAUUGGCAGCCGGCCUACUGGUUUCGGAGCGCAGCACAUAAUUUGCGCUUUGUAUCAGGAGAAAAGGACGGUAAUCCAUCAAGACUCUACAUUUUUAACUUUUGACCUCGGAUCAGGUAGGGAUACCCGCUGAACUUAAGCAUAUCAA